rnacentral:misc_RNA from 1 species
GAGAGAGCGAGAACUAGAAGAAAAAGAAAAGCUAAGGCGAGAAGCUCUCUUGGGGAGAACAACUGAUGGGCCUUCUGAAUUUCCUGCUGGGUCCCUUUCAGAGCCUGGGGCUGCUGCUGCUGCUGCUGCUGCACCAUCCCCUGGAAAAUAUGUGCCAAGGUUCCGGCGAGAAAGAGAAGGCUCAGACCAGGCUUCUCCAGAUUCUGACAGAUGGAGUGGAGGAAGCAGUAGGCAGGCUUCUGAUCCCGAACGGUGGAGUGGUGGGAGUACCAGGCAGCCACCUGCGGAUGCAGAACGGUGGGGCAGUGGGGGCACCAAGCCUCCUUCAGACACUGAUCGAUGGGGCAGUGGCGGCACUAGGCAGCCUCGUGCAGAUUCUGAUCGCUGGGGCAUUGGCACAAGGCCUGAGGAUCGCAACCCGCCUGGUGAUAGGUGGCGUAGCAGCAGCUCAAAGUCCACUUGGUCAUCAUCUAGGCCACUGGCACGCUGAUCGUCGGAGUUUUUAAAUGUGGACAUAUUGAAUUCGUAUGCACAGAAACAGUAAUGAUAGCUGAAGUUUCUCCCAGAAACCCUUGUUUCUAAUUUUGAGACUUGCAGUUAAAGAGUGAGACGUUUUCUUAGUUACUUUUGUGAGACGAUCCCCAUGUAGAUUAAGAUUUUAAUUUAAGGUGAUGUGCCAUUUUUCGUGGGCACUUGUGUAAUGCCAUAUCCUCUUCUCUGUUACAAGUUGUUUAUUAGAUACAAGGGUUUCUGGGAGAAACUUCAGCUA